rnacentral:rRNA from 1 species
UUAUUAUUAAAUUGCUAAUUUUUUUUGUUAAUAUGUUAUUUUAUUAUUAAAAGUAAUUAUAGAAGUUAUUGUUUUAGUAUAUUAUAUAGGAAAAAUAUUUUUAGUGAUAGUUUAAUAGUACUGUGAAGGAAUUUUGAAAUAUAUUGAAAAUUUAUUAUUUUUAAAGAAUAUUUUAUUUGUUGUACCUUUUGUAUCAGGGUUGGUUAAUUAAUAGUUAAGAAUUUAAUUUUCUCGAUUUCAGAAGAGCUAAUAGGCUAUUAUAGUUAAUGUUGCAUAAUUAUUUUUAAUAGUUUAUUUGAAAUGAAAAGUUAAUCGUUUUUGAAGGUAUCUAGUUUUUUAAGAAGUGAAUUUAAUUCAUUGCAGUAGUUGGUUUUAUUUAUUUAUUUAAAUUGAAACUAUUGUUGUAAAAAAGAUAGAGGGGAUAAGCUUUUUAUCUGUUUUAAAAAUUUAUAAUGAUAGUUUAAUAUUUUGUAGGCUUAGAAUUAGCUAUCAAUAAUGAUUAUGUUAUAAUUUAUUAUUUUGUAUUUAUUAUUUAUUGAUAUUUUAUUUAGUUAUUAAAAUUUUUUAUUUAAUUUUAGUUUUAUAAGUAAUAAUGAUUAAAUUAGUAUAUUUUGAUGUGUAAUUAUUUAUGAUUUGAUAGGUUAUCUUAAUGAACUCGGCAAAAAUAAUAUGUUCGCCUGUUUAUCAAAAACAUGUCUUUUUGUAAUUAAUUUAAAGUCUGACCUGCCCACUGAUGUUUUUAAAUGGCCGCAGUAUUUUAACUGUGCAAAGGUAGCAUAAUCAUUAGUCUUUUAAUUGGAGGCUUGUAUGAAUGGUUGGACGAAACAUAUACUGUGUCAAGAUAAUAUAUAGAAUUUUAUUUUUUAGUUAAAAAGCUAGAAUUUUUAUGAAAGACGAGAAGACCCUAUAGAUCUUUAUAAUUUACUUUAUUUUAGGUAUUUAGAAUAUUUUAUCUUAUAUAUUGUAGAUUAUUUUGUUGGGGUGACAUUAAGAUUUAUAUAACUCUUAAUUUUUUAUUACAUUAAUUUUUGGAUAGGUUAUUUUGAUCCUUUAUUAUGGAUUGUAAAAUUAAGUUACCUUAGGGAUAACAGCGUAAUUUUCUUGGAGAGUUCAUAUCGAUAAGAAAGAUUGCGACCUCGAUGUUGGAUUAAGAUUAAUUUUGGGUGUAGAAGUUCAAUAAAUUAAGUCUGUUCGACUUUUAAAUUCUUACAUGAUCUGAGUUCAAACCGGCGUGAGCCAGGUUGGUUUCUAUCUUUAUUAAUUUAAAAUAUUUUAGUACGAAAGGACCAAAUAUUUGAAUUAUUAUUUUUGAAUUGAAUUUUAUUAAUU